rnacentral:misc_RNA from 1 species
GUUUUAUAAUAUUAUCCUUUAAUUAAUUAUCAUAAUCAAUGUAGAUCCACUUGACAAUAAAUAAUUCCAACCUACCCAAAGUGGAGAAAUUACUACUAAUUGAUAAAGAAGAAGCAGUGCUUCAUAGUGAUAUGCACGGGAAGAUGCCAAUUCCAAGGGCGUAUGCCCCAUUUUUGGCCCAUUAGAUAUCAUCACACAUAUUUACAUGGCUGGAUUGGCUACAUGCAUGGCCUAACUAUAUAUGGUGAUGGUGGUUCGUAGAGGACUCUCUUUCUUGGAUCAAAACUGGUAAGCCACCUCUCACGGUGGCAGUAAGACCUGGGGAAAAUCUUGGUGCCUGAACCGGAUCCACAACCCGAACGUUAAAGGACCUAAUCACUUGAAGAGCUACACUUUUCAUCUCCAUUAAUGCCAUUUCCUUGCCCAAACAAACCCUAAAUCCGGCUUGAAAAACUGGGUACUUGUAUGGGUUUUCUGGUACAAAAACCCCAUUCUUUAUCCACCUUUCUGGCUUGAAUUCGAGACAAUCUGGACCCCAAACGCGCUCCAUUCGACCCAUUGCAUAUUGGUGAUAUGUUACUCUUGCGCCUUUGGUUACAAAUGUACCAUCAGGCAAUAUAUCAUCUUCCUUGGCAAACUUAGAAUCAAAUUGAACAGAUGGAUAUAAUCUUAAACUCUCGUAUAUUGCAGCAUUUAGAUAAUGCGUGCCCCGCAAUUGUUCAUAGCUGGUAAGCUCCUGACUCGGCCUUAUGACUCGUUCAGACUCAUCUCGAAUGGCUGAUUCAACUUCUGGGUGCUGUGACAGCAGCCAGAAGAAACUGGUUAGCCCUGAGGCAACCGUGUCACGACCUGCCAAGAGAAAGCUGACGACAAUAUCACGAAGAUAUUUAUCAUCAUUGAUGGAUCCCAUGAAUCUUGAUAAAAGAUCUUUGUUAUCGGCAAAGCCAACUUUUCUCCGAUGAUUGAUCAACCCUUCCGCGAGUUCAUUCACCAUCUUUAUAGCCUCUUUGAGUUUCUUUUCCGAGCCUAAAUUUAGUAACCUUUUGAUCUUCCAAACAAUUGGUGAUGCUGCUAGUGCUCUCUCUGCAGAUAACUUUGAUGCAGUAUCAAAAGCAAGAGCGAAUUCAGAAAUAGGCAAAGAUAAAUGAAGGCAUCCAGGGUCUAACCCGAAGGAAAAUUUGCAAAUGCUAUCGAAAGAAAAUCUUCUAAACACAUCUUGCAAAUCCAAAGCCUCUUUUUUACCAGUCAUUGAUGACAAGAGAGGUAUCAACCUACCUCGGAUCUCGCUCGUAAUGAGCUCAAAAGCAUAAGUCCUUAUGGAAACACUACCGAGCUCUAAACUCGCCAUUUUCCUUUGAAACCUCCAAGAAUCACCAUCAACAUUAAAAAUACCUCUACCCAAAAGAUCACCCAAGAGAGCAGAGAAAGGUUUCCCUUUUGGGUAGUUGUCAAAAUUGGUAUUGAGAAUAUACUUAACGUUUUCUGGGUUGGAAGUGAUGAUAUUGCGAAGAACAUGGAUGUGAAUCGUACCGGUGGGCGAUUUCCGAAGAAGAUGAGUACACCAAUCGCAAAGAUUAGCAAAAUCUUUGGUCCAACUAGCAGUGAGAUAGCUUUUGCAUACCUCACAAUUACACCAUGGCUUUAGCCUCAACAAAAACACAAGCAAAGAGAACAAAGAAAACAAUAAGGUAAAACCAAAGAAGAGCAAACAAAAAACACUGGAAAUGGACUCCACCCACAGGGAAGAAGCAUUCAACUCCAUGAAUGAAGAGAGAAAGGUAAAGAAAAUUGAAGAAAU